CACGAACCUGGCGGCGUGCCUAUACAUGCAGUCGAGCGAAUAGGAUUAAGAGCUUGCUCUUAUGAACCUAGCGGCGGACGGGUGAGUAACACGUGGGUAACCUGCCCAUAAGACUGGGAUAACUCCGGGAAACCGGGGCUAAUACCGGAUAACAUUUUUAACCGCAUGGUUCCAAGUUGAAAGGCGGAUUCGGCUGUCACUUAUGGAUGGACCCGCGUCGCAUUAGCUAGUUGGUGAGGUAACGGCUCACCAAGGCAACGAUGCGUACCCGACCUGAGAGGGUGAUCGGCCACACUGGGACUGAGACACGGCCCAGACUCCUACGGGAGGCAGCAGUAGGGAAUCUUCCGCAAUGGACGAAAGUCUGACGGAGCAACGCCGCGUGAGUGAUGAAGGCUUUCGGGUCGUAAAACUCUGUUGUUAAGGAAGAACACUUGCUAUAUGAAUAAG
rnacentral:rRNA from 1 species